rnacentral:rRNA from 1 species
UACGUAGGGUGCAAGCGUUGUCCGGAAUUAUUGGGCGUAAAGAGCUCGUAGGCGGUUUGUCGCGUCGGCUGUGAAAACCUGGGGCUCAACCCCGGGCCUGCAGCCGAUACGGGCAAACUAGAAUUCGGUAGGGGAGACUGGAAUUCCUGGUGUAGCGGUGAAAUGCGCAGAUAUCAGGAGGAACACCGGUGGCGAAGGCGGGUCUCUGGGCCGAUAUUGACGCUGAGGAG